rnacentral:rRNA from 1 species
GACGAACGCUGGCGGUGUGCUUAACACAUGCAAGUCGAACGGUAAGGCCCUUCGGGGUACACGAGUGGCGAACGGGUGAGUAACACGUGGGUGAUCUGCCCUGCACUUCGGGAUAAGCCUGGGAAACUGGGUCUGAUACCGGAUAGGACCACUGCCUGCAUGGGUGGUGGUGGAAAGCUUUUGCGGUGUGGGAUGGGCCCGCGGCCUAUCAGCCUGUUGGUGGGGUGAUGGCCUACCAAGGCGACGAGGGGUAGCCGGCCGGAGAGGGUGACCGGCCACACUGGGACUGAGAUACGGCCCAGACUCCUACGGGAGGCAGCAGUGGGGAAUAUUGCACAAUGGGCGCAAGCCUGAUGCAGCGACGCCGCGUGAGGGAUGACGGCCUUCGGGUUGUAAACCUCUUUCAGCACCGACGAAGCGCAAGUGACGGUAGGUGCAGAAGAAGGACCGGCCAACUACGUGCCAGCCGCCGCGGUAA